rnacentral:rRNA from 1 species
GUAACACGUAAACAACCUGCCUUCAGGAUGGGGACAACAGACGGAAACGACUGCUAAUACCGAAUAAGUUCCAAGGGCCGCAUGGCCCAUGGAAGAAAAGGUGGCCUCUACCUGUAAGCUAUCGCCUGAAGAGGGGUUUGCGUCUGAUUAGCUGGUUGGAGGGGUAACGGCCCACCAAGGCGACGAUCAGUAGCCGGUCUGAGAGGAUGAACGGCCACACUGGAACUGAGACACGGUCCAGACUCCUACGGGAGGCAGCAGUGGGGAAUCUUCCGCAAUGGGCGAAAGCCUGACGGAGCAACGCCGCGUGAGUGAUGACGGCCUUCGGGUUGUAAAACUCUGUGAUCCGGGACGAAAAGGCAGAGUGCGAAGAACAAACUGCAUUGACGGUACCGGAAAAGCAAGCCACGGCUAACUACGUGCCAGCAGCCGCGGUAAUACGUAGGUGGCAAGCGUUGUCCGGAAUUAUUGGGCGUAAAGCGCGCGCAGGCGGCUUCCCAAGUCCCUCUUAAAAGUGCGGGGCUUAACCCCGUGAUGGGAAGGAAACUGGGAAGCUGGAGUAUCGGAGAGGAAAGUGGAAUUCCUAGUGUAGCGGUGAAAUGCGUAGAGAUUAGGAAGAACACCGGUGGCGAAGGCGACUUUCUGGACGAAAACUGACGCUGAGGCGCGAAAGCGUGGGGAGCAAACAGGA